UACAGAGGGUGCGAGCGUUUAAUCGGAAUUACUGGGCGUAAAGCGCGCGUAGGCGGCUUUGCAAGUCGGGUGUGAAAUCCCCCAGGCUCAACCUGGGAACUGCAUUCGAGACUGCAUUGCUAGAGUAUGGGAGAGGGAAGUGGAAUUUCCGGUGUAGCGGUGAAAUGCGUAGAUAUCGGAAGGAACAUCAGUGGCGAAAGCGACUUCCUGGACCAAUACUGACGCUCAUGUGCGAAAGCGUGGGGAGCAAACAGG
rnacentral:rRNA from 1 species